rnacentral:rRNA from 1 species
GACGAACGCUGGCGGCGUGCUUAACACAUGCAAGUCGAACGAAGAGCGAUGGAAGCUUGCUUCUAUCAAUCUUAGUGGCGAACGGGUGAGUAACGCGUAAUCAACCUGCCCUUCAGAGGGGGACAACAGUUGGAAACGACUGCUAAUACCGCAUACGAUCUAAUCUCGGCAUCGAGGAUAGAUGAAAGGUGGCCUCUACAUGUAAGCUAUCACUGAAGGAGGGGAUUGCGUCUGAUUAGCUAGUUGGAGGGGUAACGGCCCACCAAGGCGAUGAUCAGUAGCCGGUCUGAGAGGAUGAACGGCCACAUUGGGACUGAGACACGGCCCAGACUCCUACGGGAGGCAGCAGUGGGGAAUCUUCCGCAAUGGACGAAAGUCUGACGGAGCAACGCCGCGUGAGUGAUGACGGCCUUCGGGUUGUAAAGCUCUGUUAAUCGGGACGAAAGGACUUCUUGCGAAAAGUUAGAAGGAUUGACGGUACCGGAAUAGAAAGCCACGGCUAACUACGUG